rnacentral:rRNA from 1 species
UACGGAGGGGACUAGCGUUGUUCGGAAUUACUGGGCGUAAAGGGCGCGUAGGCGGCCUGCUAAGUCGAACGUGAAAUCCCUGGGCUCAACCCAGGAACUGCGUCCGAUACUGGUUGGCUUGAAUCCGGGAGAGGGAUGUGGAAUUCCAGGUGUAGCGGUGAAAUGCGUAGAUAUCUGGAGGAACACCGGUGGCGAAGGCGACAUCCUGGACCGGUAUUGACGCUGAGGCGCGAAAGCCAGGGGAGCAAACGGG